CCAGGGCCAUCUUACCAUCUCCUUGUUCUGCCUUCCCCCUUGAUAGGAGCAAUUCAUUGAGCUGUGCAAGACGCUAUACAACAUGUUCAGUGAGGACCCCCUGGAGCAGGACUUGUACCACGCCAUUGCCACAGUGGCCAGCCUCCUCCGCAUCAGUGAGUGGUCAGCAUGGGCUCCCUGCAGUGUGAGAACCCCACAGCCACUGCCCGCAUUGGGAACACCAUGGACGCAGACUGGUGCAUCUCCUUCAAGCAGAUCCUGGCCUCCAUCCUGCCGGAGUCUGUGCUGGUCAACUUCUUUGAGAAAAGGGUGGACAUUGGACUCAAGAUGAAGGACCAGAAGAAAGUAGAGACAGUUGAGUGCCUCCAGUGAGCACGAGCCAUCUGUUGCUCUGGGCUGAGCCCCUUGGCUGAGUGAUUCUGGCCGAGGCCUCUGU